GAGUACAGAAAAGAAAAAAAAAUUAUAUAAAAUUCAGCAUAAUGAAGAAAUAUACAUGCUUGUUUAAUUAAAAUCACUUGGUACUGCUUUUCGUCGUCUAAUUUGUUGCAAGUUUUUCUUUACACCCUGUAUAUUGGAAGUUCUUAUAAACACUACAGAAAAUGAAUUGAUGGUUGUUGUACAUACCAAUUUAAUUGAUAAUAACAUAAACAUCGACUUCUUAAGAACAUAAACAAUCAAGAAUAAAGAAAGAUUUUACCACACAAAAAAAAGAAUAAAGAAAGAAUAAUAUUUUACCAAAAAAAAACAUUAAAGAAUAAUCAUGUAAACUAGUUUUCCUGGUUUGUGUAAGCGUAAAACGCUAAAAUAUUUCGAACAAAAAGGUGGAGAAAAUAUUAACCAUCCACUUAUUCAAUAAGCAUAUAUAAUUCAAAUUCCUAGUGCAACAAAAAAAACAAAAAAAAAAUUACACAAAAGGUUUCGCCUAUGUUUUACAUUUGUUUUGCUAUAUAAAGCCAUUAAUCCUACAUGCUCUUUAGACAUCUCUUCUUCUCUCAUCUAUCUUUUCUUCUCUCUUUUCCUCCUUUUUAUCUCACAUAAGCUCUUUUUUACAUAAAUCCAUAUGGUGCCUCAAAGCAAUCCAUGGUCUAGGGUUUGUUUUGAAGAUUGAUUCUAGCACACACAGAAAAAGAUCUGUGCAUCAAGAAUGAAAAACAUGGGGCAUAUAUAUACGUUUUACAGUUUUAUGCUCUAUACAAUAUACUCAGAUUAUUCAUAUACUAACUGUAUAUGUCCAUAUGCUUAUAUAUAUACAUAUAUAGCUGUAGAAAUUUUAAUAUGGUCAGGGAUGCUGGGUUGGUGGGGGAAGGGAGCUUUCUUCGGUCCACUCAUAGAAUAAUAUGAUUCAGUCGUGGACCUCCCUGAACAUCUUCGAGACUAAUCUAUGAAGGCUUAUGUUUUUCUUUGUAAUGAAAGUUUCACUACUAGAAGCAAUAACAAUAUACAAGAUAAGGUUUCUACUAGCUCAUCUACCCAAAUAACUUCGCUUCUUUCUUUUUGUGGGGGUCAAAACUUCGUUUCUUUCUAUUCCAUGUAAACUAUCAUGUUUCUGGCGCUCGCUCAAUUAAAGGCGACUUGCAAAUAGAUUAUAAGCUAUCACAAGCUAUUACGCAAUUUCGAGUUCA